GACUCGGACCCAUGCGGUGCCAACGCCCAAAUCUUGUCAGGACCGGAAGGUAGCAGCAACACGGGAUGCUUGGAACAGGCGUGGUAUCCGGGUCACU
rfam:Planktothricoides sp. SR001 contig_18, whole genome shotgun sequence.